GACGAACGCUGGCGGCGUGCCUAAUACAUGCAAGUUGAGCGCUGAAGGUUGGUACUUGUACCGACUGGAUGAGCAGCGAACGGGUGAGUAACGCGUGGGGAAUCUGCCUUUGAGCGGGGGACAACAUUUGGAAACGAAUGCUAAUACCGCAUAAAAACUUUAAACACAAGUUUUAAGUUUGAAAGAUGCAAUUGCAUCACUCAAAGAUGAUCCCGCGUUGUAUUAGCUAGUUGGUGAGGUAAAGGCUCACUAAGGCGAUGAUACAUAGCCGACCUGAGAGGGUGAUCGGCCACAUUGGGACUGAGACACGGCCCAAACUCCUACGGGAGGCAGCAGUAGGGAAUCUUCGGCAAUGGACGAAAGUCUGACCGAGCAACGCCGCGUGAGUGAAGAAGGUUUUCGGAUCGUAAAACUCUGUUGGUAGAGAAGAACGUUGGUGAGAGUGGAAAGCUCAUCAAGUGACGGUAACUACCCAGAAAGGGACGGCUAACUACGUG
rnacentral:rRNA from 1 species